GAUGAACGCUGGCGGCGUGCCUAAUACAUGCAAGUAGAACGCUGAAGCUUGGUGCUUGCACCGAGCGGAUGAGUUGCGAACGGGUGAGUAACGCGUAGGUAACCUGCCUCUUAGCGGGGGAUAACUAUUGGAAACGAUAGCUAAUACCGCAUAAAAGUCGACAUCGCAUGAUGUUGACUUGAAAGGUGCAAUUGCAUCACUAAGAGAUGGACCUGCGUUGUAUUAGCUAGUUGGUGAGGUAACGGCUCACCAAGGCGACGAUACAUAGCCGACCUGAGAGGGUGAUCGGCCACACUGGGACUGAGACACGGCCCAGACUCCUACGGGAGGCAGCAGUAGGGAACUUCGGCAAUGGGGGCAACCCUGACCGAGCAACGCCGCGUGAGUGAAGAAGGUUUUCGGAUCGUAAAGCUCUGUUGUAAGAGAAGAACGAGUGUGAGAGUGGAAAGUUCACACUGUGACGGUAACUUACCA
rnacentral:rRNA from 1 species